UGUACGCUGUCAUUAUACGCGUAUGAUAGUAAUAACAGAAGAAAACAGCUAACAUACGCGUCAAAUUGACGCGUAUUAUAGCUAAUAUAAGUUAUUCUUUCAAUUCAAUGCUUUAUUUGCUCUUUGUAUUGGCUUUCAUCUCUCACCUGCUCUUAUUACUUCAUCAAUGCCUCUUCCUCUUAUGGAAGUGUUGAAGUUUCUGCAUUUCAUCUGUGUUAUGUUAUUUCUUUUCUGGGAUUGUUGAUCUUCUAAAUUUAUCAGGGGAAAAAUCAAAAAUCGAUCGAUUUCACAUAUUUCUCUCAAACGUGAUUAUAGUAGUAUUUGUUGGGCGAAGAUUUUACGGAAUUAUAAAGAGUUGAAUUUGGAAGAUAGUGAGAGGGGUAAACGGAGUCAAUUAUGUUCAAGCCUAACAAAAUUCACUACUUUAGGGUUUUUGUGAGUUCUUCUACAACUUUUUAUUUUUAAACUUGUGAAUUCAAUUAUGUUUGUUUAACUUUUAAAAGUUUUGUUUUUUUUGUCUUGUGAAAAUUCCAUUUAAGACGGUGCUAGCAGACUUAAUUGUAAGUAUUUGGAUUCAAUUUUCUACUUCAGUUUGUUGUUUGCUUCUAGUUGCAUGACUCUUUUUUGUUUUUUUAAUGAUUGAACUCUUUAAGUAUAUAUGAAUAUGAUGUUCUAGUAACAUGAUAUCUUUUUAUAUUUUAUACUGAUUCUUGCUUUAAGUUGUUCUUGAUGGAGGACAUUUUAGUCCGGUGUUUAAACAUGUGAUUGAGGUUUACGAGGAUAAAGUUUCUGUCUUUGAUACUGGCUCUGGGAUGGAUGGAAGUGAUGAGAAUUCGAUAGUGAAGUGGUACUUUCAGUUUCUCCUUCUGAAAAGCGUGGUCUUUAAUGGCUUUAGUUUGUGGAUAUAGUUACUACUCUUGGAAAUAGUUUCAUAAAACCAAUACUUUUCAUGAAUUAUGUACAUGGAUUUUUUUGAGGAAGGUGGAUCUUUUGAAUAUUAAAGUUGAGCAUUUACUCAUUUAGUCUAUGUCGUAACCUGAAAGUUAGAUUUGUAACUUUGAGGUUUAGCUGGGCCAUUGUUUAGCUGUGACUUCUUUUUGUUACAUGCUUUCCUUUUUCUUAUUUUGCAGCCUUUUUUUGGGAUAUAUGGCUAUGGUGGAACUAUUAGGGAUGUAUGAUAAUUACUUCUCCUGUUCUCCUUAUUGUUGAGCAUGGAAUCUCAUUUUUGGCAAUUUUUCUGAAUUCUGUGUCCUAUGCUAGGCAUGCUAUAGUAUCUGCAAGGACUAAACAGUCUAAGAAAGUUUACUGGCUUCCUUUAAGGAAGGGAUGCGCUAUUAAAGGCGGUCUGGGACUGAUCUUAACUAGAAGGCUGGGAGUGGACUUCAAGAUCCAUUAGACAGAGAGAUUGAACUGUCCCCUCAUGGAAGUUUUACGGAGGUGUACAAGCAGCGCGAGAAGGGAAUGCGCGCCUGAAGUUGUGUUUACUUUCCCAUUGUGGAGGGCGAGGAGAGUAUUGAGAAAUUUUUGGAAAAACUAAAUUCUGCUGGCUGUGGAAUUCAAGACGACUAUGAAUCUUUUAGUCGUAUUUCCAUCAGGCUGUUGGGCCGUCUUCUUUCUGAAGCUCACUGGGAGCUGCUACCUUUCACGAAACCCAGACAGAAGAAGGGGAGAAAAGUUGAAAUUUUGAAGAGGGUGCUGUUCAAGAGAUUAAGUGCUUCAUUGACUGAUUUAGGUCCUCAUGACCGUAAGCAUUGAAGGAUCUGGGAGGUCGCACUCAGAAAGAGAAAGUAAAAGUUCAAAUUUUUAGAGGUGAAAAGCAAUUGACACUUCAACAACUGGAGCGAGAGUAUCAACACUGGAUUCUACAAAUACAUAUUGUGAGGGUUCUUCAAGCUAUAAUUGGAAGUGCAGAUCUUGGAAUAGGGGACAUGAAGUUAAGAUUCUCAAAGGUGCAUGCUGUGGCUGUCAUAAGAACAACCUAUUUGUAACGCUCGGAUAUUUUUUACUUGAAGGCCUUGAAAAGGAUACAGGAGGAGAGGCGCGGAUUAUUUGCAGGUAUAUAUGAAACCUCAACUUUCUGUUACUCUUCUGCUAGAGUUUUACUGUUUUUAUGUCUCCUGGUAUUUUGUUUUGUGAAGGCCACUAGGGUUGAGGAGGAAAAUGGUAGUGUGCUUAGAGUUGAUGCUACUAACAGUGACUUCGAGUUCGAACUCCGCAGCUUUAUAUCUUUGCCUAUCACUGUGUUACAUCCAGGAAAGUGUAUUGCCGUUAGCGACAACGACUGGAAUUGCCAAGUUGACAAGCUAAAUCUAAAAAUUCCCCCGACAAGUGCUGGGACCAAAGCAAUGCAAUGCAUUAGAACUUGAUGGGGGAUUACUUAGAGAUAUGCUUAUGUUUCUGCUGGAACAUUACCUCCUAUAGAAGUUGUUGCCUUACUGCGGCCUUCCAAUUUCACUUGAAGUAGUGCCUCUAAUGAUUUAGACCAAAAAUACAUUCUAAGGGACAAUGACGACAUGCCUGGAUAUUAAAUUCAUGACUGCAGCUGCAAAAUACCCUGAGGGUGACCAUAUUUUUUCAGUAACUGUUACAAAUACAUCACGUGAUGGAUGUCAGGGUUUGUAUAGAUUUUUGGUGGGGUCAGUGUCAUGUUUAUUUCAAAAAGCUGGAGUUAUUCAUUUUCCUUCUCUCUGGUAUCAAAUCCCUUCUCCUGCUUCCUGCAUUCUGGAUUUUGAAAGAUUACAAUUAGGAUUUGCCUCUGUACAGAAAAAAUCAGCAACUGCAAGUUCUGAAUUUUGAUUGUGAGGGUCAAAGCAUCAUCUAAUAUCAAACGCUGGGAACUUUCAAAAGAUGAUAUAGAACUGCCUUUGAGUGUGAGAAUAGAGUGAAUUUUUGG